GAUGAACGCUGGCGGCGUGCCUAAUACAUGCAAGUCGAGCGAACAGACGAGGAGCUUGCUCCUUUGACGUUAGCGGCGGACGGGUGAGUAACACGUGGAUAACCUACCUAUAAGACUGGGAUAACUUCGGGAAACCGGAGCUAAUACCGGAUAACAUGUUGAACCGCAUGGUUCAACAGUGAAAGACGGUCUUGCUGUCACUUAUAGAUGGAUCCGCGCCGCAUUAGCUAGUUGGUAAGGUAACGGCUUACCAAGGCAACGAUGCGUAGCCGACCUGAGAGGGUGAUCGGCCACACUGGAACUGAGACACGGUCCAGACUCCUACGGGAGGCAGCAGUAGGGAAUCUUCCGCAAUGGGCGAAAGCCUGACGGAGCAACGCCGCGUGAGUGAAGAAGGUCUUCGGAUCGUAAAACUCUGUUAUUAGGGAAGAACAAAUGUGUAAGUAACUAUGCACGUCUUGACGGUACCUAAUCAGAAAGCCACGGCUAACUACGUG
rnacentral:rRNA from 1 species